GGGGGGGGGGGGGGGGGGGGGGGGGGGGGGGGGGGCGGGCGGGAGGGCCCGGCGGGUGUGGGGGGCUCGGGUGGCGGGCGGGUGAGUGACACGGGCGUAACCUGCCCUUGACUUUGGGAUGACUUCAGGCAACUGGGGCUACUACCGGAUAGGAGCUCCUGCUGCAUGGUGGGGGUUGGAAAGUUUCGGCGGUGGGGGAUGGACUCGCGGCUUAUCAGCUUGGUGGUGGGGUAGUGGCUUACCAAGGCUUUGACGGGUAGCCGGCCUGAGAGGGUGACCGGCCACAUUGGGACUGAGAUACGGCCCAGACUCCUACGGGAGGCAGCAGUGGGGAAUAUUGCACAAUGGGCGGAAGCCUGAUGCAGCAACGCCGCGUGCGGGAUGACGGCCUUCGGGUUGUAAACCGCUUUCGCCUGUGACGAAGCGUGAGUGACGGUAAUGGGUAAAGAAGCACCGGCUAACUACGUG
rnacentral:rRNA from 1 species